rnacentral:tRNA from 1 species
UAGAAGAUAGUGUAAUGGAAGCACUAAGAGUUUUGAUCUCUUCAGAACGGGCUCAACUCCCUUUUUUCUA